rnacentral:ncRNA from 2 species
CGCAUCCACGUUGGGAGAAUCUGGCGCCCGCCUGACCGGGACCAGUGCCGAAGGAGCAACCGCCCCGGAACCUCUCAGGCUUCAGGACCGCGUGGACGAC